CGAUAGAGGAAUAGUAAAUCAAGCGCUUAUGAUUUUCAUUUUUUCCCUUCGUCCUCAUCAGUCACUCAUCACACUUCGUAGUUGCGCCAUUUUCUCUCUGUUUUCCAGUUCCUGAGUUUCAGUCUCUGCUUACUCUCUCAUCCUCAGAAACAAUGGGUAAAGGGAGCACGAAGAGGUGGAAGAUUGCACAAGCUAACAAAAGCGAGUGCCCGACAGCUGCAUGUUAGUAAGACUCACACCACUGACUUCUUGUGUGAGUUUUGUGGGAGGGUGGUUCCAAAAAAUCCGACAAAACUCAUGGCAAGGGGCACUGUGAUGGCUCGAAGGGGUCUGCAUCUGAUACCGAUGGCGAGGACUCGGAGGCAUCAGGUUGAGUGGAGUGGGAGAGACCCAAGCCAGGGAGAAGACCCGAUAUAUGUAAUGUAGUAUGGAGUCUUGCUGAGGCAGUUAUCAUAUUAUGCAGCUGUAAGUUUUUCAGGAGUUCCAUAACAAUGGAUUGACAACAAUCUUGACAUGUUAAGGGUGAAUUCAAAUGGAUGCAAUAUCUCAUUUGUUAAUUGUACCAACUAUGCAACUUUGAGAAUAAUUGAUAUGCAACUUUGAGAAUAA